rnacentral:rRNA from 1 species
CCAACAGGGAUUGCCUUAGUAACGGCGAGUGAAGCGGCAAAAGCUCAAAUUUGAAAUCUGGCACCUUCGGUGUCCGAGUUGUAAUUUGAAGAAGGUAACUUUGGAGUUGGCUCUUGUCUAUGUUCCUUGGAACAGGACGUCACAGAGGGUGAGAAUCCCGUGCGAUGAGAUGCCCAAUUCUAUGUAAAGUGCUUUCGAAGAGUCGAGUUGUUUGGGAAUGCAGCUCUAAGUGGGUGGUAAAUUCCAUCUAAAGCUAAAUAUUGGCGAGAGACCGAUAGCGAACAAGUACAGUGAUGGAAAGAUGAAAAGAACUUUGAAAAGAGAGUGAAAAAGUACGUGAAAUUGUUGAAAGGGAAGGGCUUGAGAUCAGACUUGGUAUUUUGCGAUCCUUUCCUUCUUGGUUGGGUUCCUCGCAGCUUACUGGGCCAGCAUCGGUUUGGAUGGUAGGAUAAUGACUAAGGAAUGUGGCUCUACUUCGGUGGAGUGUUAUAGCCUUGGUUGAUACUGCCUGUCUAGACCGAGGACUGCGUCUUUUGACUAGGAUGUUGGCAUAAUGAUCUUAAGCCACCCGU